AAAACAACAAACUCGUUAGGUGUCAGUAAUUAUUUGUAACCAUGAACCUUGAUAGCUUUCUUCUAUUAUUGUCACUAGCUUUGGUUAUUACAAGGUCGACUUGUGUGGAUGUGGAUAAGCAAGAUGUUACAUCGGAUUACUUGGAAACGCCAGAAGAACACAGCAAGUCUUCUCUGAACAGAUUCGAUUACCUAAGGAAUCGCUACGACACAAAAAUGAAACUGCAAAAGAAAUUUUUACCUUUUGUUGGAAAAAAUUGCUCAUUCGCUUACCCGGUGCUAAGGGCAAUUGAGUCCGUGUUUACCGCACCUUGGUAUUUCGUUAAGAGUACAUUACAUAAAAUCUUUGGAUAGCAUGCGUUUGAAAUUGUAGUAGACUAAUAUUUCUCUAACUCCAUAGGGUUUGGACUAUCUUCUUGCGAAAUUAUGUCAUUAUAAGCUUAAAUGAUAAAAAAUAAUAAAUAUAUUUUACUCCAACUUGUACUGCCAAAUCCCAACAUGACAUCAUAUGGCAGCGUUUAUUUCAGCACACCGUCCCGGACUCGUGGAAGUCAGUCCUUGUCUAUUCUAUCCCUAAAGAAAGUAGAGCUCAGACCUAGCUUACGCUAAUAUUCAAGUAAAUCAGCAUAGCAUACCAACCAAUAGUAGUAGUAUAUAAUUACACAAUGCUCCUGUGAUUGCUAGUGUGUUGCAAGAGAGUGUGGGCAGCGGUGAUCACUUCCCAUCAAGUAACCCGUACGUUUGUAUGUCUUCCUCUUCCAUAGACAAUAGAAGGAGAUGGACGGCAGCCAUCCAAAGUUUAGAAGUCAUGGUAGACAGUUAUUGCUCGAGCCCGAAGCCCAUAAACUUUGGAGUUCCCCAUGCUUGUGUGCUUACUCCUACACUAUUCCUUCUGCAUUUGAAUGAUAAUUGUUUGGAUGCUUCCAAUGUGCCUUAUGCUAUGUAUACUGCGUUAAAGAUCUCUAUAUGCGCAUAAUACAUAUAAUACAUGUACAUAAUACAUAUACAAGUAAAUAAAGUGAACUACUUUUAAUAACAAAAUGGCUGCGUUGUAAGCGUCACUAUUUGUGUCUUUCUAAUUGCAUGAAGUACCAUUACUACUUCUUUCUAAUGAUAAAUAUGUCGCGAUAACUUAUUUUUUACCGUUUUCAAAAAAGGUGGAGGUUCUCAAUUUGACGGUUUUAUUUUUUAUGUUUGUUAUCUCAUAACUUUUGACCGGGUGAACCGAUUUGAUGAUUCUUUUUUGGUGGUGCUUCCCGUGUAGUCUCAUUUAAUUUCGUCCAGGUCUGACAACGGCAUCCAUGAGAUAAGCAUAAUAUAUACUGUCUUAAAUUUGCACUAAGUAGGCGCGCGACAAAUGGACGAAUACCUCAAUAUCACGCCAACCGAUUUCGAUAAAAAUGCAUAAAAAGCAUUUAUUUUCUCAAAAUUGAUUCCUUUAGAAUUCUUUUUGAUGUAAAAGAUAAUAUGUAAUGUCUAAUAACUACUAGAUACUACUACCGCUUCGGAAACAAAUGGCGCCCUGAAAGAGAAGAAGCGGCGCAAGAAACUCUCCCAGCAUUCUUUUUUUGCGCUCUUUUCAAUAAAAAUAUACAAUAUUGUACAGUAAAAUAUAUAUAUAGGUAUAAAAUAAUCGUAAUUUAGUCCCAGGCUGUCCGAUCAUUUAGAUAUUCAGCAGUGGAGUAAUAGGAUUUACGACAGAGCCAUUUUUUAAGAACAGUGGCUGGGACUUUAUUAUAGAAGUGUAUACAUUUACCCUUAAAGCUAUUAUGUAUUCUAUGAAACCUACUAGAAUUAGUUACAAGCAAUCCCUUAUUUCUAGUGUUAUAAUAAUGAAAAUAACUAUUAAGAGCAAAAAGGUGACGAUUUUUGUGAACGUAUAUUAAAUUUUCAUAAAUGUACUGAGAAUGAACAGUCAUAAUA